rnacentral:rRNA from 1 species
GAAGAGCACUCCUACGGGAGGCAGCAGUGGGGAAUAUUGCACAAUGGGCGCAAGCCUGAUGCAGCCAUGCCGCGUGUAUGAAGAAGGCCUUCGGGUUGUAAAGUACUUUCAGCAGUGAGGAAGGUGGGUAUGUUAAUAGCAUACUCAUUUGACGUUAGCUGCAGAAGAAGCACCGGCUAACUCCGUGCCAGCAGCCGCGGUAAUACGGAGGGUGCGAGCGUUAAUCGGAAUUACUGGGCGUAAAGCGCAUGCAGGUGGUUUGUUAAGUCAGAUGUGAAAGCCCGGGACUCAACCUCGGAAUUGCAUUUGAAACUGGCAAACUAGAGUACUGUAGAGGGGGUAGAAUUUCAGGUGUAGCGGUGAAAUGCGUAGAGAUCUGAAGGAAUACCGGUGGCGAAGGCGGCCCCCUGGACAGAUACUGACACUCAGAUGCGAAAGCGUGGGGAGCAAACAGGAUUAGAUACCCUGGUAG